CUGGGCACUUCAGAGAAGAAGAUAAAAAAGCAUGAAGUCUCCCUCCACAAAGACAUCAUCUGGAGGAGCAGACUGACAUGUCCAUAUGUAAAAACUGUACACUGUACACAAGCAAACAAACAGCAAGCUCAGGGCAGAAGGUUUUGGGGCACAUGUGCAGGACUGUUAUAGAGAGAUAUUCCAGGGUUGUAAAGAUAACACUCAAUCUGAAUCAAAGGACAAAUUUGUUUCCUGACCAAGAUGAUCAAGAUAAUAUCUGUCUCCACAGGGGAGGAUGGACAGGUUUGCCAGCAGCCCGUUUAUAAUAUUAGGGAUCCUAGGCUCAGUGUUCCUAUGUGUCAUAGAUCCACAAUGUGCACAGUAUUAACC
rnacentral:lncRNA from 1 species